UCCUGUGUGGCUCAGUUUGUAGAGCAUGGCGCUUGCAAUGCCAGAGUUGUGGGUUUGAUUCCCAUGGGGGGAC
rfam:Salmo salar isolate Sally breed double haploid chromosome ssa07, whole genome shotgun sequence.